UGGCUCAGUUGGGAGAGCAUGGCAUUUGCACUGCUAGAGUUGUGGGUUCAAUUCCCAU
rnacentral:tRNA from 1 species